rnacentral:rRNA from 1 species
GAUGAACGCUGGCGGCGUGCCUAAUACAUGCAAGUCGAGCGAACAGACGAGGAGCUUGCUCCUUUGACGUUAGCGGCGGACGGGUGAGUAACACGUAGGUAACCUACCUAUAAGACUGGGAUAACUUCGGGAAACCGGAGCUAAUACCGGAUAAUAUUUCGAACCGCAUGGUUCGAUAGUGAAAGAUGGCUUUGCUAUCACUUAUAGAUGGACCUGCGCCGUAUUAGCUAGUUGGUAAGGUAACGGCUUACCAAGGCAACGAUACGUAGCCGACCUGAGAGGGGGAUCGGCCACACUGGAGCUGAGACACGGUCCAUACUCCUACGGGAGGCAGCAGUAGGGAAUCUUCCGCAAUGGGCGAAAGCCUGACGGAGCAACGCCGCGUGAGUGAUGAAGGUCUUCGGAUCGUAAAACUCUGUUAUUACGGAAGAACAAACGUGUAAGUAACUGUGCACGUCUUGACGGUACCUAAUCAGAAAGCCACGGCUAACUACGUG